rnacentral:rRNA from 1 species
UGGGGAAUAUUGCACAAUGGAGGGAACUCUGAUGCAGCGACGCCGCGUGAGUGAUGAAGGAAUUCGUUUCGUAAAACUCUGUUCUAUGGGAAGAAAAGGACUGUACCAUAGGAGAAAGCUCCGGCUAAAUACGUGCCAGCAGCCGCGGUAAUACGUAUGGAGCGAGCGUUGUCCGGAAUUAUUGGGCGUAAAGGGUGCGCAGGCGGCUUUACAAGUUGGAUGUGAAAUAUUGUGGCUCAACCACAAACGUGCAUCCAAAACUGCAAAGCUUGAGUUAAGGAGAGGUAAGUGGAAUUCCUGGUGUAGCGGUGGAAUGCGUAGAUAGCAGGAGGAAUACCGGUGGCGAAGGCGACUUACUGGACUUAAACUGACGCUCAGGCACGAAAGCGUGGGGAGCAAACAGG